rnacentral:tRNA from 1 species
GCCUUCGUGCUGUAAUGGUCAGCACGCUCGACACCGAGAGGUCCAUGGUUCGAUUCCCGGCGAAGGCG